AUUGAACGCUGGCGGAAUGCUUUACACAUGCAAGUCGAGCGGCAGCGCGGGGGCAACCCUGGCGGCGAGCGGCGAACGGGUGAGUAACAUAUCGGAACGUACCCUGUCGUGGGGGAUAACUAUCCCGAAAGGAUAGCUAAUACCGCAUACGACCUGAGGGUGAAAGCGGGGGACCGCAAGGCCUCGCGCGAUAGGAGCGGCCGAUAUCGGAUUAGCUAGUUGGUGAGGUAAAGGCUCACCAAGGCGACGAUCCGUAGCGGGUCUGAGAGGACGACCCGCCACACUGGAACUGAGACACGGUCCAGACUCCUACGGGAGGCAGCAGUGGGGAAUUUUGGACAAUGGGGGCAACCCUGAUCCAGCCAUUCCGCGUGAGUGAAGAAGGCCU
rnacentral:rRNA from 1 species